UACGUAGGCAGCGAGCGUUGUUCGGAUUUACUGGGCGUAAAGCGCGUGUAGGCGGCUUGGCAAGUUGAAUGUGAAAGCCCACGGCUCAACCGUGGAAGCGCAUCCAAAACUGCUUCGCUCGAGUCUCGGAGAGGAAGGUGGAAUGCUUGGUGUAGAGGUGAAAUUCGUAGAUAUCAAGCAGAACACCUGCGGCGAAGGCGGCCUUCUGGACGAUGACUGACGCUGAGACGCGAAAGCGUGGGGAGCAAACAGG
rnacentral:rRNA from 1 species